rnacentral:rRNA from 1 species
GGUCCAAACUCCUACGGGAGGCAGCAGUGAGGAAUAUUGGUCAAUGGGCGAGAGCCUGAACCAGCCAAGUAGCGUGAAGGAUGACUGCCCUAUGGGUUGUAAACUUCUUUUAUAAAGGAAUAAAGUCGGGUAUGCAUACCCGUUUGCAUGUACUUUAUGAAUAAGGAUCGGCUAACUCCGUGCCAGCAGCCGCGGUAAUACGGAGGAUCCGAGCGUUAUCCGGAUUUAUUGGGUUUAAAGGGAGCGUAGAUGGAUGUUUAAGUCAGUUGUGAAAGUUUGCGGCUCAACCGUAAAAUUGCAGUUGAUACUGGAUAUCUUGAGUGCAGUUGAGGCAGGCGGAAUUCGUGGUGUAGCGGUGAAAUGCUUAGAUAUCACGAAGAACUCCGAUUGCGAAGGCAGCCUGCUAAGCUGCAACUGACAUUGAGGCUCGAAAGUGUGGGUAUCAAACAGGAUUAGAUACCCUGGUAGUCCACACGGUAAACGAUGAAUACUCGCUGUUUGCGAUAUACGGCAAGCGGCCAAGCGAAAGCGUUAAGUAUUCCACCUGGGGAGUACGCCGGCAACGGUGAAACUCAAAGGAAUUGACGGGGGCCCGCACAAGCGGAGGAACAUGUGGUUUAAUUCGAUGAUACGCGAGGAACCUUACCCGGGCUUAAAUUGCAGAUGAAUUACGGUGAAAGCCGUAAGCCGCAAGGCAUCUGUGAAGGUGCUGCAUGGUUGUCGUCAGCUCGUGCCGUGAGGUGUCGGCUUAAGUGCCAUAACGAGCGCAACCCUUGUUGUCAGUUACUAACAGGUUCUGCUGAGGACUCUGACAAGACUGCCAUCGUAAGAUGUGAGGAAGGUGGGGAUGACGUCAAAUCAGCACGGCCCUUACGUCCGGGGCUACACACGUGUUACAAUGGGGGGUACAGAGGGCCGCUACCACGCGAGUGGAUGCCAAUCCCCAAAACCUCUCUCAGUUCGGACUGGAGUCUGCAACCCGACUCCACGAAGCUGGAUUCGCUAGUAAUCGCGCAUCAGCCACGGCGCGGUGAAUACGUUCCCGGGCCUUGUACACACCGCCCGUCAAGCCAUGGGAGCCGGGGGUACCUGAAGUGCGUAACCGCGAGGAGCGCCCUAGGGUAAAACUGGUGACUGGGGCUAAGUCGUAACAAGGUAGCCGUACCGGAAGGUGCGGCUG